UGGGUGUCCAGGGCGGGGUGGGGGCAGCAGCAGGGGCGCUGUGACAGGGUGUGGCCGCUGCUAGAGGAGGUCACUCUCACCCUGGGACCGUCGCAGGAAGUGUGAGCUCCGCGUACAGCUACCGACAGCUCUGUGCGCCUUACACGCCCCUUAGAUAAGGCCCCGGGGGGUGGGGGGCUGCUCACUGAACCCCCAGUCUUCUGGAUUGAACGGACCAGUCCUGCCAGGGAGCCUGAGGCAUGGCACCCAGGAGCCCCAGGGAAGGCAUGUGCCCGGGUCAGCUUGUCUCUGCCCCCCGCCUCCCCGUCCCGCGUGGCUCUCGAGGUGGGCCCUGUACCCCUGCCGGGACCUGCGCGCGUCAGAACUUUCUGUCCUGUGGGCCCAUGUGGAACCACGCUCUCCUGCCAGCCCCCGGGCUCCAGUUCAUGGAGCCAUAGCAGGGACUCCUGCCAGAGAGGCAGGGUGGCAGGAGGGGACCCCACGGCUGCCUGGUGAUGCUGCAAGACCCUUUCAUGUUGUUGAGUCUCCAGUGGCUCCCUGUUUCCUGCUGGGACAAAUCCACGCCUACUCCUUGGCAGGCCGGGGCCCUGGGGUCCAAGCCUCUGCUCUUCCAAACUCCUGCUGCAGGGGCCCUGCUGUGCGCCCACACCUGCCAGGCUGGUCUCUCCAGCGGUCCCUGCUCUAUCUUCACGUGGGCCUUCUCCCCAUCACAAGCACAACUGGACCCUGGAAAGGGGUCUCCCCGCCCCCAUCCCUGCCAUGCAGCCAGGACCCUGGAGAGGCAGUGAGACCCGGCUCUCCUGAUGGGCACAGUGGGUGUCCUGGGCAGUCCUGGGUCACCCUCCCUUUCACCCACCAUGGGGCAGGUGGCAUCAGCUUGCUGCCCAUUCCGGGGGGGAUGGACGGCGCGCUCUCUGGGCGCUGUGGACCCACUCAUGGCCGGAAUGGUCGGGCGGUCCCCGGGAGAGGACCAUGGCAGGUGACCGACUGGAGGUUAGUGCCCCUCCCCCCAGUGUGGCCCAAGUGCUGCGUGUUUGCUGGAAUCAGGGAGCCCGGCCAGGAGCGGACCCGGGUUCCAGGGUGAGCCAGGCCCCUAGGACCCCG
rnacentral:lncRNA from 1 species